AGUGAACGCUGGCGGUAGGCCUAACACAUGCGAGUCGAACGGCAGUACAGUAAGAGCUUGCUCUUAUGGGUGGCGUGUGGCGGACGGGUGAGGAAUAUAUCGGAAUUUAAAUUUUAGAGGGGGAUAAGGUAGGGAAAUUUAAGUUAAUAACGCAUACGACAUAUGGGUGAGAGGAGGGGAUCUUAGGACCUUGCGCGUUUGUAUGAGGCGAUGUCGGUUUAGUUAGUUGGCGGGGUAAAGGUCCACCAAGGUGAGGAUACGUAGGUGGUCUGAGAGGGUGAUCAGGCACACUGAAACUGAGACAGGGUCCAGACACUGACGAUGGGCAGCAGUGGAGAAUAUUACGCAAUGGACGCGAGCCGGAUCCAGCCAUACCGCGUAGGUGAAGAUGCCCUGCGGUUUGUAAGACCCUUUUGUUUUGAAAAUAGAGCAGCAGUUUAAUACCCCGCGGUUCUGACGGUACCCAAAAAGUAAGCACCGGCUAACUUCGUG
rnacentral:rRNA from 1 species